rnacentral:sRNA from 1 species
CGGCAGCUGACAGUUUCAGUAAACCACGGAGACGAACGGAUUACGGUCAGGCCGUAACAGCUCUCUGGGAACAAAGCGCAGCGUUCGAAGUAAUCGCCGUCGUCUUGGCUGUUGUUAAGCCACCACUCCAGCAUCCUCCCGCUUAAAAACAAAAACCAAAAACAAAAACAAAACAAAGCCCAAGGAACUCAAAAACCAAAAACAAAAAUAACACCAAGUAAUACUUAUAAAAAACAAAAACAAAAAAUUCAUCUUCUACUUGUUCUUCUGCUUCAACUUUCUUCGUCUUCGUCUCCGUUAUAAAUAUAUAUAUAUACAUAUAUCAUAUACAUACAUACAUAUAUAUCCGUGUGUGUGUGUGUUUGCGACGCGUGUGUACUGGUGCAUGUGAAUGUGUGAGCUACAACAAUCACUAAAACAACAACAACAACAA